AAAAAAAAAAAAUCUUAUUUUUCUCUGUUUUAAAUCAUAUCACUUUUUUUGGUGUUUCUUUUUUACAUUUUUUUUCUUUUUCCCCCUAUCUCUUUUUCUCGUGCUCAAAGUGUUUUCUGGGUUGGUUCAUAUAAAUACACUGAGAACGAAGAGACCAUAGAAACCAUAUGU
rnacentral:ribozyme from 15 species